rnacentral:misc_RNA from 1 species
GAUGAAGAACGUAGCGAAAUGCGAUAAGUAAUGCGAAUUGCAGAAUUUCCGUGAGUCAUCGAAUCUUUGAACGCACAUUGCGCCCCCUGGUAUUCCGGGGGGCAUGCCUGUUCGAGCGUCAUUUCACCACUCAAGCCUCGCUUGGUAUUGGGCAACGCGGUCCGCCGCGUGCCUCAAAUCGACCGGCUGGGUCUUCUGUCCCCUAAGCGUUGUGGAAACUUUCGCUAAAGGGUGUUCGGGAGGCUACGCCGUAAAACAACCCCAUUUCUAAGGUUGACCUCGGAUCAGGUAGGGAUACCCGCUGAACUUAAGCAUAUCAAUAAGCGGAGGA